rnacentral:rRNA from 1 species
UACGUAGGUGGCAAGCGUUGUCCGGAAUUAUUGGGCGUAAAGCGCACGUAGGCGGCAUUGCAAGUCGGAUGUGAAAUCCCUCGGCUUAACCGAGGAAGUGCAUCCGAAACUGCCGUGCUUGAGUACGAAAGAGGAUCGCGGAAUUCCCGGUGUAGAGGUGAAAUUCGUAGAUAUCGGGAGGAACACCAGUGGCGAAGGCGGCGACCUGGGUAGAUACUGACGCUGAGGCGCGAAAGCGUGGGGAGCAAACAGG